rnacentral:lncRNA from 1 species
AAGGCGAAUGAGGCGGCAGUAAGCGAAAGGGAAGAGCCGAGCCCUCGCCGCCUCCCUCCCUUCGGGCGGGCUUUCCCCGGCAGGGCGGAUGGAACGCCGCGCUGGGCGCUGGAAAGGUCGACCCUGGAAGGGAAGCGCGGGCCCCUGGCGGAGCGGAGCGGGCCUCCUCGGCGGCAGAGCGCAUGUUGCUUCCUCCUCGGCAGACUGGAAAAGAAGCUAAAGACUUGGCAUGGGAAAUGGUUACUCAAAAGAUCACCAACAAACAUUGCAGUGAUCUUCCAUAUUCUUCCCUUUGUUACAAUUCCCUCCAUGAGCUACAUGUCAUCACAGAAAGUCCUCAAUUAAGUUUGUAAAGUGGAAUACUAUUGAGAGGAGAAAAAACCCCAACAACACCUAUUUUUCAGAUCC